rnacentral:tRNA from 2 species
GCGCCUGUAGCUCAAUUGGUCAGAGCAGGCCGCUCAUAACGGCUUGGUUGCGGGUUCGAGUCCUGCCGGGCGCA